CUAGGGAUAAUUCUAGGAGACAGAACAUAAAAACGGAGACAAAGCUGGAUACCUGGCAUUAUCAAAGUUUUGGUUACAAGUAAUUCUCAUCGGAGAAGGGAAUCAGCAUAAACGGUUUAGGUAAACAUUAAUAAAACAACGCAUACUUCCACCAAACAUGAGCGAAAAGAAGUACCUCUCCUCCUCGGCGCCGCUUGGCCGAUGGAGCAUAUUCUGCCAUAUCAGCUGGAGUACGUCUCUUUGCUGCUCGAUUCCUUUCAGGUACCUUUCUGUCAUUUCUAUACGGCCGGUGAUCCAGAACGUCGUCAUCUCGAAAUUCAUGUUUUUUCUUUUUCUUGUUUUUCUUCUUUGCCUUCUGGAGCUCUUCCUCCCUGCUUGCUUCAUACAUCCUAGCUUCAAUUAACCUCUGU